rnacentral:rRNA from 1 species
UACGUAGGGACCGAGCGUUGUCCGGAAUCAUUGGGCGUAAAGAGCGUGUAGGCGGCUUGUUAAGUCUUGCGUGAAAGCCCGCGGCUCAACCGCGGAUUGUCGUUGGAAACUGCCUCGCUAGAGUCCGGAAGAGGAGAGCGGAAUUCCUGGUGUAGCGGUGGAAUGCGCAGAUAUCAGGAAGAACACCCGUGGCGAAGGCGGCUCUCUGGGACGGUACUGACGCUGAGACGCGAAAGCGUGGGGAGCGAACAGG